CACCAGCAGAGGAGAAACAUCUCUCUGCUGAGCUCUGCCAGGAACACUGCAGAGGACAUGAACUGGCUCCGAUUCUAGGAACAUCUGCUGAACAUAGCUUCCCUUUAAUUUGUUUCCAUCAAGGCAUGGAAGGAGAGCAUAUGGAAGCGGGCAGCAGCUUGAGGAAGGAGGUCACACAUCACACCUGCUGACAUAGUUAAAGGCUGCUAUCAA